CUAAAAUUUAAAAAAUUGGUAAGAGCCCUGAAUACACAUUUUUCCAAAAAAGAAAUACAAAUGGCCAACACGUACAUGAAAAAAAUGUUCAACAUUACUAUCAUCAGGGAACUGCAAAUCCAAACCAUAAAGAGAUACUGGAUGGCCAUUAUGAAAAGGACAAGAGAAAAGUAUUGGUGAGGAUGUGGAGAAAAGGGUGCCCUGUGCAAUUCUUGUGGGGAAUGUAAACUGGUAGAGCCACUAAGGAAACCAAUAUGGAGGCUCCUCAAAAAAUUAAAACUAGAACAUUGUUUUAGCAAUGCUACUUCUGGGUCUAUAUCCAAAGGAAUGGAAAUCAGAAUAUCAAAGAGAUAACUGCACUCCAUGUUAACUGCAGCAUUAUUCACAACAGCCAAGAUAUAGAAAUGACCUAAGUGCCCAUACACCUAUAAAUGAAUAAAGAAA
rnacentral:lncRNA from 1 species